AUGGCUGCAAAUGGCAAGCAUAGGAAGAAAAAAAUUAUACAGCUUGAACAGGACGAGGGGACAAUAGUGGGACAUGAAAAUUUGAAAGCAUACAUCUCUAACUAUUAUAAAAAACUUUUUGGUCCCCCUAAUUCAUCUAUGGUGUCCCUUGACGAAUCUAUGAUUGAUGAUAUACCUCAAUUACAGGCAGCAGAGAAUGAUGUUCUCUCUGCACCGUUUACUGAAAAAGAGGUUUGUCAGGCAAUUUCCCAAAUGAAGCCAAAUAAAGCAUCGGGACCAGAUGGGUUUCCCGCUGAAUUCUAUAAGAAAUGUUGGCAUAUUAUUAAAGAUGAUCUUAUGCCUAUGUUUCAUGAUUUUUUUGACGGUCAUUUGGAGUUGUUUCAUCUUAACUUUGGUACGAUCACGUUGUUACGUGAUGACCCACAAGUAUAG
rnacentral:rRNA from 1 species